AUAUUUUCCUGGUGCCGAGGCCCCGUUGAUGACCGAGGACGAGCCCCCAGGGGGAGGCGCGGGCAUUGCACUGCGCUCGCGUUGACACCUGCCACUACCCCAAACUGGGGCGGAUGGGACAUGCAAAUUGCAUAAAUCCGGUUCAACGCAAGAGAGGGCGACACCGCC
rnacentral:snRNA from 1 species